AUGCAAAGACUCUGUUAUCUCUUGAACUUAUCCACUGCCAACUUUAUCCUGCGGUCAUGGAUAAAGUUUGCAUUAGUCUUUGCCAGCCAGGUUCCCAAAACUACAAAAGACAAGACUAAUCUGUCAUUGAUAGUGUUUUUGCAGCUAGCACUAAAAGCUGGUGUGUUUUAUGAUAGAGUGACAAAUAUGACUAUUUUGGGAAACCAUUCAACAACUCAGGUUCCUAAUUUCUUGAAUGCCAAAAUUGAUGAGAGGCCAGUAAAAGAAGUCAUCAAAGAUACAAAGUGGCUAGAAAAGGAUUUUUCUACAACUGUUCAAAAGCUGCUCUCGUUGCUUACGCAGGUACACGGAGAAGGUGAUGGUGCCGCUGAGGCUGUUGCUCCCGAUGUUAGAGAGGGUGUCGCUGACCGAUGCCGCCGGCUUGCCCGAGGUGGCCUGCACGUCUUCAUGACCAGCCAUCUCCCCAGACCUUGA
rnacentral:rRNA from 1 species